UUAUAUAUUAAUAUAACCUAAGACAGUAGGUGUGUUUUAAUACGCAUAAAUUCCUACCGAGGUAAAUGAAUCGGAUUAAAGUCUGAUGUUUAUUUAUCGAAGGUAGGUAAACAUCAGGCUUUUUAUAUUCU
rnacentral:sRNA from 1 species